CAACAAGCAACAAGACACCAAGAAACAAGACAACAAGCCCUGUGACUGUUAGUAAAGAUGACGUUGAAGAUGAGAUAAUCUACUCAGAUGUUAAAGUGAUGACGGCUGCAAGGAAGACCAGACACAACUGACUUUAAAAUCCAACUUCAUUUUUUCCUGAAACAUUAUUUCUAAUUUUCCUUCACAACUGUCAUUUAUUGUGUGCCACCUUCUUUGUUCAUCUACAGUAUCCACAAUGCAUCACUGCUAAUUCUUAAUGUCUUAAAGCUCAGGUCCACUGUUCAUACAGUAUAUACACUUAUACUUAUAUACACAGGUAGUGGCUAACAAAUAACCACUUCCUUGAGUCACAUCUCAAAAACAAGACAACAAACAGGAAGAGCUGAACUCACACCUGCUGCUAAGAAAUUCCGUUCUCUUCAACAACAACCUGAAAGACGACAACCACAGUUCAUAUGCAGUGAGUGUCGACUAAAACCACAUAUUUGAAAGGGCCUUUGAGAAACCAGGGACUUUAAAACUGUACCUCCACUAUACAGCAUGAAGUUAACACGAGGCUUUAAUGGCAAUUUAUUUUCAUGAUUUCAUGAAUAACUUCUUACGUAUAAUCAUUAACAGUAAAUACAAUGUGUAUUCCAGUGAACUUGAUAUACAGAUUUUUUUUUUUUUAAUGCAAAAUUGAGCAGCAUUUGUUUUUCAUUCACUAUCAAAGAGUGUAUGAUGAUGUAUUUAGUUAUAUUUCAAUUUCUUAUUAGUUCAACAAUAUUUUCAUAACGCAUGUUGUGGUAAUGUUUAGCAUAAAUUAUAUACAUGAAUUUCUGAAGAUGAUGUUUAACAGAACCAAUAAAUGUAGACCUGUUUUUACGACCAUUUUUACGUGUAUGUAAAUAGUUUGUCCAUUUACGAUGGAAAAAUCAUCAGAGUGAACAUGAAACUACAAAAUCUACUUGAACAGUCAUGCAAUUCAUAAGUUAUAAUUUGUUUUAUUAAUUCUGGGAAAGUAUUAAUAUUAUGUGUGGCUUAUUGUAAGAUUUGCAAUCAAUUAAAGUUUAAUAAAGGAUUCGGUAUAAAA